UUGUGUUUUAUUCUCAAAAGAAUUUAAAAAAAAACAAUGGAGCCACGAAGAAGUGCGCGUUUAGCUGAAAAAGCCAGGAGAAUACAAGCUGCCCAGGAAAUGGCAGAGGCUAUAGAGUUGUUGGCCAUAGAAGCUCCAAUUGCUAAUAGGCUCCGCUCGAGGGAAACCCCAAAUAGAACCCUAGCUUUAAUGCCGAUGAAUGAAAUACCUCAAGUACCGCGCAUAAAGCCACCGAGGAAACCAGUACGCAAGCAGAAGGAAGCGGAACAAAAUAGGACCUUAUUAUUUACCUUUUUGUA